rnacentral:rRNA from 1 species
UACGGAGGGUGCAAGCGUUAUCCGGAUUCACUGGGUUUAAAGGGUGCGUAGGCGGCUUUGUAAGUCCGUGGUGAAAUCUCCGAGCUUAACUCGGAAACUGCCAUGGAUACUAUAAGGCUUGAAUGUUGUGGAGGUUUGCGGAAUAUGUCAUGUAGCGGUAAAAUGCUUAGAUAUGACAAAGAACACCGAUUGCGAAGGCAGCAGGCUAGACAAAUAUUGACGCUGAGGCACGAAAGCGUGGGGAGCAAACAGG